rnacentral:rRNA from 1 species
GACGAACGCUGGCGGCGUGCUUAACACAUGCAAGUCGAACAGUGGCGGACAGGUGAGUAAUGCUUGGGAAUCUAGCUUAUGGAGGGGGAUAACUACGGGAAACUGUAGCUAAUACCGCGUACCAUAGGAUGAGACAAAGUGGGAUUAGGUAGUUGGGGAGGUAAAGGCUCACCAAGCCGACGAUCUCUAGAUGGUCUGAGAGGACGACCAGCCACACUGGGACUGAGACACGGCCCAGACUCCUGCGGGAGGCAGCAGUGGGGAAGAUUGCGCAAUGGGGGCAACCUGACGCAGCCACGCCGCGUGAAUGAAGAAGGCCUGCGGGUUGUAAAGUUCUUUCGGUAGCGAGGCGUUAACUACAGAAGAAGCACCGGCUAACUCCGUGCCAGCAGCCGCGGUAAUAC